GGCGAACGGGUGAGUAACACGUGGGUGAUCUGCCCUGCACUUCGGGAUAAGCCUGGGAAACUGGGUCUAAUACCGGAUAGGAGCCAUUUUUAGUGUGAUGGUUGGAAAGUUUUUCGGUGUAGGAUGAGCUCGCGGCCUAUCAGCUUGUUGGUGGGGUAAUGGCCUACCAAGGCGGCGACGGGUAGCCGGCCUGAGAGGGUGGACGGCCACAUUGGGACUGAGAUACGGCCCAG
rnacentral:rRNA from 1 species